AUGGAGUCACAGACCCAAGUUCUCAUGUCCCUACUGCUCUGGGCGUCUGGUAUCUGUGGGGAUAUCUUGAUGACCCAGUCUCCAUCCUCUAUUGCUGUGUCAGCAGGAGAAAAGGUCACCAUCAGCUGCAAGUCCAGCCAGAGUCUGUUUGGCAGCAAUGACAAGAAUUACUUAACCUGGUUCCAGCAGAAACCAGGGCAGAGUCCUAAACGUCUGAUCUACUGGGCAUCCACUCGGGACACUGGAGUCCCUGAUCGCUUCAUAGGCAGUGGGUCUGGGACAGAUUACACUCUCACCAUCAGCAGUGUCCAGCCUGAAGACCUGGCAGAUUAUUACUGUCAGCAGCAACACAGAGUUUUCACAUUUGGAUCUGGAAUGAUCCUCAAGUCUGUGUGGUAA